AUCAGCGGGGUGGGGGAGAUGGACAUCGAGAAGGACUCUCCGAAGAAGGAGGACACCCAGGCCAAGGACCUGCCCUACCCAGACUGUCCCUUCCUGCUCCUGGACGUGCGGGAUCGGGACGCCUACGACCAGUGUCACAUCGUGGGAGCUUAUUCCUACCCUAUUGCCACGCUGUCCAGGACCAUGAAUCCAUACACAAACAGUAUUCUGGAAUAU